GACGAACGCUGGCGGCGUGCUUAACACAUGCAAGUCGAACGAAGCUUGAUUACGGAUUCUUCGGAUGAAGUAUGAUAUGACUGAGUGGCGGACGGGUGAGUAACGCGUGAGUAACCUGCCCUUCAGAGGGGGAUAGCGGUUUGAAACGGACGGUAAUACCGCAUAAUGUAUUUUGACCGCAUGAUCGAAAUACCAAAGAUUUAUCGCUGAAGGAUGGACUCGCGUCUGAUUAGGUAGUUGGGGGGGUAACGGCCUACCAAGCCGACGAUCAGUAGCCGGACUGAGAGGUGGAGCGGCCACAGUGGGACAGAGACACGGGCCAGACUCCUACGGGAGGCAGAAGUGGGGAAUAUUGCACAAUGGGCGCAAGACUGAUGCAGCAACGCCGCGUGAAGGAAGACGGUUUUCGGAUUGUAAACUUCUGUUCUUAGUGAAGAAUAAUGACGGUAGCUAAGGAGCAAGCCACGGCUAAAUACGUGC
rnacentral:rRNA from 1 species